AGCGAACGCUGGCGGCAGGCCUAACACAUGCAAGUCGAACGGAUCCUUCGGGAUUAGUGGCGGACGGGUGAGUAACACGUGGGAACGUGCCCUUUGGUUCGGAACAACUCAGGGAAACUUGAGCUAAUACCGGAUGUGCCCUUCGGGGGAAAGAUUUAUCGCCAUUGGAGCGGCCCGCGUCUGAUUAGCUAGUUGGUGAGGUAAAGACUCACCAAGGCGACGAUCAGUAGCUGGUCUGAGAGGAUGAACAGCCACAUUGGGACUGAGACACGGCCCAAACUCCUACGGGAGGCAGCAGUGGGGAAUUUUGCGCAAUGGGCGAAAGCCUGACGCAGCCAUGCCGCGUGAAUGAUGAAGGUCUUAGGAUUGUAAAAUUCUUUCACCGGGGACGAUAAUGACGGUACCCGGAGAAGAAGCCCCGGCUAACUUCGUGCCAGCCGCCGCGGUAACAC
rnacentral:rRNA from 1 species